GUCGAGAGAAACCUACCUGGGAAGUAACCUUAUAAGACUGCGAAGUGGGAAGUCGGCUACCCUACAGUCCAGUCCCAUGGCUCUGACAAGCAAAUUCAUUGUGGUUGACCAGGAUGUGAGGAAAGUACCACCCUCUGGUGGUACGUAGAAGGUACUGCUCUCACAGCUUAGAAAGUAAAACAAAAUCACUUUGUCAAUUAAAGAAACACGGAACAUACGGAAGAUGCUAACAAGUGAAGCUAAUGAGAAGUGUAGCUCAGGCUCAAUUUGUACAUUCACAUACUAAUAUUUUCAAUAGCUAAUAUCUUCAUGGACCUUAUUCUAAGUGAGGUAAACUUUGGUAAUUCAGUUUUGGGGCACUGCUGCUGUUAUCAAAUCUUACAAAGCUCAGAUAGGACAGAGACAUGGAGCUCCUGUGCUUUGUGGGGGUCUACUCACCGAUCCACACAGACACUGGAACCCCUGACUGACAGAGAUCUGGCAGGACUUGGACAGCGAUGAAGAGACAUUUGCUGGCCCUGCUGCAACUCGCAAUUCCUGAGCAGCUGAGCUGUUUGAAGAACCUGAAUCUUCUUGGUCUAAUGCCUGCCCUGCCAAGCAACCCAGGCCUUGGGACCAAACCACCAGCAAGGAACUGGCGUCGUGGGCUAUGCAUGGCAAAUUGUGGUCACUCACUCACGGAUGACCUUUGAGGGACGUUUUGUGGUACGCACGCGCAGGUGGUGGCAGCUAAAAUGUGCCUGCACGGAAGUGAGUUGUGCCGUCGAUCUGGAUGGUUACGUGCUUGUUUUCUAUCUUGUCUGAUUUAUUUUUGAGUUCUCAUAUUUAUGAUUUAUGAAUAUCCCACAAAAGCAGAAUACCUGUCAAGUACUGGUAUUCUUCACUGGUAGAUAAAAAGUGUUUCCUGUUGAGUGACUUGUUUGUAGUUCAUUACAAUAGAAUUUUUAAUCACCCAAAAUAUUAAUAUGUUAAAAAGCCUGCUCUAUAUAUUUGUCUGUUUCACUUCAUUUCUGCUCGUGAUUGCUGUAUAAUUUUGGAGAGGUAGCUGAAGGUGCAAACAAAAAUAAAAUAAAAUAAACUCCAAGCACUCCAGUGUUUGGCUACUCAAGAAAGGAUUUUUAAAUGCUUCAAACAGAAAGUGACUUCCAAACUAUUCUGCAUGUAGUAUCUUUUUUAUCAUCCCUACUUACAUAUUUAGCGGGCUAUUCUGUUGUAAUAUUUGUUAAAUAUCUGCGGAAUGGAAAUUGAGAUAUUUAGGCUACCUAAAUAACCUUACCUGUAACUGUUUUCCCAUGCUGCUAUCAUUUAACUGAGUAUGGAAAAGAGAUAGUAGGACAAAGAAAGUUAAUUUAUUUGAAAUAAUAUCUGAGUGUCAGUUUGUUAGUUGUUUAUGAAUUAACAAUUGCCAUUUAAACAGAUGUUUAGCUGCCAAGCAGCUUGUUUGUACAGUUGGUAUUUUUGACAUGACAAAUAAUAAUUAUUGUUGAACAUGCUAAUUACUUUCAAUUAUAAGCUUUUUUAAAGAGUGAACUGCCAGACAAAGGAAAUCUUUUUAAGAUUGAAAACUUGCUUUUGACACCAAGAUGCAGUUAUUGUGCUGACAGACUGAGAAAAUUGGAACAGGACCAAAUAAAUAAAUAAAUAAAUGGCUUCUACUGUCUUUUUCCUGUUAC